rnacentral:rRNA from 1 species
AGAGUUUGAUGGUGGCUCAGGAUGAACGCUAGCUACAGGCUUAACACAUGCAAGUCGAGGGGCAGCAUGGUCUUAGCUUGCUAAGGCCGAUGGCGACCGGCGCACGGGUGAGUAACGCGUAUCCAACCUGCCUUACACUCUUGGACAGCCUUCUGAAAGGGAGAUUAAUACAAGAUGUUAUCAUGAGUAAGCAUUUUCGCAUGAUUAAAGGUUUACCGGUGUAAGAUGGGGAUGCGUUCCAUUAGAUAGUAGGCGGGGUAACGGCCCACCUAGUCUUCGAUGGAUAGGGGUUCUGAGAGGAAGGUCCCCCACAUUGGAACUGAGACACGGUCCAAACUCCUACGGGAGGCAGCAGUGAGGAAUAUUGGUCAAUGGACGAGAGUCUGAACCAGCCAAGUAGCGUGAAGGAUGAAGGUUCUAUGGAUUGUAAACUUCUUUUAUACGGGAAUAAACGAAUCCACGCGUGGAUUUUUGCAUGUACCGUAUGAAUAAGGAUCGGCUAACUCCGUGCCAGCAGCCGCGGUAAUACGGAGGAUCCGAGCGUUAUCCGGAUUUAUUGGGUUUAAAGGGAGCGUAGAUGGGUUGUUAAGUCAGUUGUGAAAGUUUGCGGCUCAACCGUAAAAUUGCAAUUGAUACUGGCAGUCUUGAGUACAGUUGAGGUAGGCGGAAUUCGUGGUGUAGCGGUGAAAUGCUUAGAUAUCACGAAGAACUCCGAUUGCGAAGGCAGCUUACUAACCUGUAACUGACAUUGAUGCUCGAAAGUGUGGGUAUCAAACAGGAUUAGAUACCCUGGUAGUCCACACGGUAAACGAUGAAUACUCGCUGUAGGCGAUAUACGGUCUGCGGCCAAGCGAAAGCAU